ACUGGUUGUGUAAGAAUUAUACCAAUGACACCACUCGCCUCAAUUCUGCUUGAUAAGGGUUCUCUUGAUGGAGAAGAAUAACUGUCCACAGAAUUGUCCGUGUUGUCCGUGUUGCCCGUACUUCCCCCCUUCGUCCGCCGACAACAUUUCGUGGUGGGAUACUCCGAGAUGGGUCAUCGUCGGCAUCGUAGUUGUCGCCAUCGUAAUCUGUGGUUUCCUUUUAUACUUUCGUCGCGGUCCUAAGGACACAGAGGGCAAUCUCUCGGUGAAACCAGAAAUUACCUUUGGUAUAGACAGUUUGAACAUUUCGAUUCCGUUGUCGUUAGGGUCCUCCUCCAAAUGAUAAUAAUCUGCGAGCUUCUGGACA